AUGCUUCCUCAUUGGUCUUAUGUUUGUUGGCAAUCGACCAUAUGUCUGCAUUACGUUUAUAUCAUUGGCACUCGGUUUUUCUGGCGCAAUAUCCAUCACUUCGUUGCAAAAUCCUCAUGAUCUUUCACCUAACUUUGCUACAACCAUUUUUGCCUUCAUUCACACAUUCGGAUCGACACAGGGCUUCAUCGCUCCGUUGGUCAUCGCUCAUUUUACGAAGACAAAGAGUUCCGACGAAGAGUGGCAAUACGUUUUUCUGAUUGGGGCCGCUAUGCUCAUAGCCAGUGCCAUAAUUUUUAUUGUGUUUGGUAGUGUCGAAAUACAGAAAUGGAACAAAAUCCAUGGUGAAAAGACGGAGAUGAAACUACUAAAUGUAUCCGCGCCAUUGGCUGAAUUCGAAAAGGCUGAACUGUAGUUCAGUCGUAUGGGAUUCAGUUUCCAGUCCGAAAGGCUGUAUACAUAAUAGAAAAUGUAAGAUUAGCGUUAUACCCUCAAAAGUAGUUAUCUUACUUAUGUCGAAAUAAAAGAGAGAAGAA